rnacentral:rRNA from 1 species
UACGUAGGGAGCAAGCGUUGUCCGGAAUCAUUGGGCGUAAAGCGCGCGUAGGUGGCCUCGUAAGUCCGCUGUAAAAGUCAAAGGCUCAACCUUUGAAAGCCGGUGGAUACUGCGGGGCUAGAGUACGGAAGAGGCGAGUGGAAUUCCUGGUGUAGCGGUGGAAUGCGCAGAUAUCAGGAGGAACACCGGUGGCGAAGGCGGGUCUCUGGGCCGAUACUGACGCUGAGGAGCGAAAGCGUGGGGAGCGAACAGG